rnacentral:rRNA from 1 species
GAUGAACGCUGGCGGCGUGCUUAACACAUGCAAGUCGAACGAGAAGUGAAGACGGAAACCUUCGGGCGGAAGGCUUUAUUUCGAGUGGCGGACGGGUGAGUAACGCGUGGGUAACCUGCCUCAUACAGGGGGAUAACAGUUGGAAACGACUGUUAAUACCGCAUAAGACCACAGCACCGCAUGGUGCGGGGGUAAAAACUCCGGUGGUAUGAGAUGGACCCGCGUUCGAUUAGCCAGUUGGCGGGGUAACGGCCCACCAAAGCGACGAUCGAUAGCCGAUCUGAGAGGAUGACCGGCCACAUUGGGACUGAGACACGGCCCAAGCUCCUACGGGAGGCAGCAGUGGGGAAUAUUGCACAAUGGGGGAAACCCUGAUGCAGCGACGCCGCGUGAGUGAAGAAGUAUUUCGGUAUGUAAAGCUCUAUCAGCAGGGAAGAAAAUGACGGUACCUGAGUAAGAAGCCCCGGCUAACUACGUG